rnacentral:rRNA from 1 species
UACAGAGGUCUCAAGCGUUGUUCGGAUUCAUUGGGCGUAAAGGGUGCGUAGGUGGCGUCGUAAGUCGGGUGUGAAAUUUCGGAGCUUAACUCCGAAACUGCAUUCGAUACUGCGGUGCUUGAGGACUGGAGAGGAGACUGGAAUUUACGGUGUAGCAGUGAAAUGCGUAGAGAUCGUAAGGAAGACCAGUGGCGAAGGCGGGUCUCUGGACAGUUCCUGACACUGAGGUGCGAAAGCGUGGGGAGCAAACAGG